rnacentral:rRNA from 1 species
UGGCGACCGGCGCACGGGUGCGUAACGCGUAUGCAACCUACCUUUAACAGGGGGAUAACACUGAGAAAUUGGUACUAAUACCCCAUAAUAUCAUAGAAGGCAUCUUUUAUGGUUGAAAAUUCCGACGGUUAGAGAUGGGCAUGCGUUGUAUUAGCUAGUUGGUGGGGUAACGGCUCACCAAGGCGACGAUACAUAGGGGGACUGAGAGGUUAACCCCCCACACUGGUACUGAGACACGGACCAG